GUAGUCAUAUGCUUGUCUCAAAGAUUAAGCCAUGCAUGUCUAAGUAUAAAUAGUAUACAGUGAAACUGCGAAUGGCUCAUUAAAACAGUUAUAGUUUAUUUGAUAAUCUUCUACAUGGAUGCCCGUGGUAAUUCUAGAGCUAAUACAUGCUGAUUGACCUGACUUCCGGAAAGGUCGUAUUUAUUAGAUAUCAAACCAAUUGCCGCAAGGUAAUUGUGAUGAAUCACAGUAACUGAUCGAAUCUCAGCUAGUCUGAGAUAGGUCAUUCAAGUUUCUGCCCUAUCAGCUUUCGAUGGUAGUGUAUUGGACUACCAUGGCAGUCACGGGUAACGGAGAAUUAGGGUUCGAUUCCGGAGAAGCCGCCUGAGAAACGGCGACUACAUCUAAGGAAGGCAGCAGGCGCGUAAAUUACCCAAUCCUAAUUCAGGGAGGUAGUGACAAGAAAUAACAACCUGGGGACUUCACAGUCUUACGGGAUUGCAAUGAGGACAAUCCAAAAACCUUAGCGAGGAACAAUUGGAGGGCAAGUCUGGUGCCAGCAGCCGCGGUAAUUCCAGCUCCAAUAGCGUAUAUUAAAGUUGUUGCAGUUAAAAAGCUCGUAGUUGAAUGUCUGGUCGUUGCUAGCGCCGGUUUCGAUCGGACUAGUAGCGGCCAUCCGUCUGCGAACCAUGCUCGUCCUUCACUGGUCGUCUUGGGGAGCUGACUUUUUACUUUGAAAAAAAUUAGAGUGUUUCAGGCAGGCAAUUGCCCGGAUACAUUAGCAUGGAAUAAUGGAAGAGGUCUCAGGUCCAUUUUAUUGGUUAUUGGACAAGAGUAAUGAUUAAUAGGGACAGUUGGGGGCAUUAGUAUUUAAUUGUCAGAGGUGAAAUUCUUGGAUUUAUUAAAGACUCACAAAGGCGAAAGCAUUUGCCAAAGAUGUUUUCAUUAAUCAAGAACGAAAGUUAGGGGAUCAAAGACGAUCAGAUACCGUCGUAGUCUUAACUAUAAACUAUACCGACUCGGGAUCAGGUGGGAUUAUUCCCCGCUUGGCACCGUAUGAGAAAUCAAAGUCUUUGGGUUCCGGGGGGAGUAUGGUCGCAAGGCUGAAACUUAAAGGAAUUGACGGAAGGGCACCACCAGGAGUGGAGCCUGCGGCUUAAUUUGACCCAACACGGGGAAACUUACCAGGUCAAAACAUGGGUGGGAUUGACAGAUUGAGAGCUCUUUCUUGAUUCUAUGGGUGGUGGUGCAUGGCCGUUCUUAGUUGGUGGAGUGAUUUGUCUGGUUAAUUCCGUUAACGAACGAGACCUUAACCUGCUAACUAGUUUUCUCUUUAAUCAAGGGAACAACUUCUUAGAGGGACUAUGCGAUUGAAGCGCAUGGAAGUUUGAGGCAAUAACAGGUCUGUGAUGCCCUUAGAUGUCCUGGGCCGCACGCGCGCUACAAUGACGUACUCAACAAGUCCUAUCCUGGCCCGGAAGGGUUCGGGUAAUCUUCAUAGUAUACGUCGUGUUAGGGAUAGAUCUUUGGAAUUAUAGAUCUUGAACGAGGAAUUCCUAGUAUGUGCAAGUCAUCAGCUUGUACAGAUUACGUCCCUGCCCUUUGUACACACCGCCCGUCGCUCCUACCGAUUUCGAGUGGUCCGGUGAACCUUCUGGACCGCGGCUGCCCCGAGUAGCCGUGGAAAGUUAAG
rnacentral:rRNA from 1 species